rnacentral:lncRNA from 1 species
CAUGUAAUAAGAAGAACAGACACAUAAUUAUAUGCAAUUGAUUCUAGGGAAGCAUUACUGCUCAUGAUAGCUAAAUGUCAAUAAUUUAUGACACCAUAUCAUCACAAAUUUCUUUUGAAGAAUAACCUGUCAAGAAUUUAUCCCCAAAUGCCACUGCUUUCUGCUAUUCCCAAAGUCGUAACAAAUUUCUUUCCAUUGUUAAAAGGAAUGGACUCAAUUCGAAUGAUAGAAUAUCAAUGGUCGAAGAAGGUUGAUGCUGAUCUUCUGCUAGUUCUUCUCAAUCCUAACCCCUCCCUUAAUAUUAAUGGUCCCCAUGGGACUUGAUUACUACUGGCACCCCGUGUACAACUAGCACAGUUUAAAUGGUAUAUCACAGUGAAGUCAUCGUGGAAUAAAUAAAUGGCCUGCAUGCAUGGACCACACAACUAAGCAAUAAAAAUUAAAAAUUAAUUUAAAAAAAAAAAGUUUUUAAAAAAGAAAAAAAGAAAUGGGAUUGUCG